AGUAGGGCGGGACACGUGGUAUCCUGUCUGAAUAUGGGGGGACCAUCCUCCAAGGCUAAAUACUCCUGACUGACCGAUAGUGAACCAGUACCGUGAGGGAAAGGCGAAAAGAACCCCGGCGAGGGGAGUGAAAAAGAACCUGAAACCGUGUACGUACAAGCAGUGGGAGCCUCUUUUAUGGGGUGACUGCGUACCUUUUGUAUAAUGGGUCAGCGACUUAUAUUCUGUAGCAAGGUUAACCGAAUAGGGGAGCCGAAGGGAAACCGAGUCUUAACUGGGCGUUAAGUUGCAGGGUAUAGACCCGAAACCCGGUGAUCUAGCCAUGGGCAGGUUGAAGGUUGGGUAACACUAACUGGAGGACCGAACCGACUAAUGUUGAAAAAUUAGCGGAUGACUUGUGGCUGGGGGUGAAAGGCCAAUCAAACCGGGAGAUAGCUGGUUCUCCCCGAAAGCUAUUUAGGUAGCGCCUCGUGAAUUCAUCUCCGGGGGUAGAGCACUGUUUCGGCAAGGGGGUCAUCCCGACUUACCAACCCGAUGCAAACUGCGAAUACCGGAGAAUGUUAUCACGGGAGACACACGGCGGGUGCUAACGUCCGUCGUGAAGAGGGAAACAACCCAGACCGCCAGCUAAGGUCCCAAAGUCAUGGUUAAGUGGGAAACGAUGUGGGAAGGCCCAGACAGCCAGGAUGUUGGCUUAGAAGCAGCCAUCAUUUAAAGAAAGCGUAAUAGCUCACUGGUCGAGUCGGCCUGCGCGGAAGAUGUAACGGGGCUAAACCAUGCAC
rnacentral:rRNA from 1 species